AAGCACAAGGAAAAAAUCUAAUCACUAAAGGCUGCAAAUUUCUCAACACGAAUAUUAAUGUGUUAGUGUUCUAUGGAAGUGGCAAGGUUGAGAUUAGAUAAACUAGUGUUUGUGACUCACAAAGCAAAUAUAACAACUCCAGUUCUUAUCAAUUUGCCAGUGAAGAAGAGAGUUCCAGUAAUUAAGAGAAAAUGUUUACCACACAAGAAGUUGUUGAUUGGGCAGAAGAAAAGAGGAAGAUGACAGUAGUUUUCACGGAGCAGUUACUCUCUCUCUUCCUGCUUUACAAAUGAAGACGCUAUCACGGUACCUGGCUGGCUCUGUCGGUGGAGAAUGUGACUUUUGAU